CUGGAGGCUGUGGCAGAAUUACUUGAACCAGGGAGGCAGAGGUUGCAGUGAGCUGAGAUUGCGCCACUGCACUCCAGCCUGGGUGAGAGAGCAAGACUCUGUAAAAAAAAAAAAAAACCCACAUGGCACUAAAUAGAUGAUGUAAAGAAGACUUGUUCAUAUUAUGAGAGCUGAAACAAGAACACAGAACAUCAUGCGUUUCAGGUGACACAAAUGUUUGCUGACCUGUGGCUAUCCGAGAACACCUGCAGAAGUACUCCCUUCAUGCUGAGCACAGCUUGAGGUCAGUGGCUGAGACUGGCCAGCAAGCACCGCGUUAAGGACACAGGCUGAUCACAAGAGCUAACCUGUCAUGGUUCCACAGCAUCGUGCCUUCCCCUGGUGGCCUCCGAAGCUCAUGCAAGUUUGCAGGAAGAGACAUUCAGAGUGAAAUACGGCCUGAAAAGCCACUCCAAGUUGUAUUAUUUAUGAAACACAACACUCAACACAAGAAGAAACCCAAUACAGCACAUCAUUCUGCCUGCUCCGUGGCUUCUGCUUCUCAAGCGACUUAAAAUGAUUGUCUCACUUUGUCUCCCAGGCUGGAGUGCAGUGGCGUGAUCUCGGCUCACUGCAACCCCCACCUCCCUGGUUCAAGUAAUUCUCCUGCCUCAGCCCCCCGAGUAGCUGAGAUUACAGGAUCCUCUCUCUGGGAGCCCUCAUCUACCUCCAGCUGCAAUCAUCACCACAGGAGUGAGAGAGAGACUUGGACCUGAGCUGGACCCUCCAGCCCUCCUUCGCUGAACUACCUUCCAACCUUAUGUUCCUACUGAUGUUUACCAGGUUAUUCAAUAAAUAUUGUAUGUUCUGUGGCAGUGGCCACCAGUCAUUUUCAAAUACCUGUUUUCCCUUCUUCCUUACCAAAAACACCCAUGGUUUUUAGCUGGACACCUGGUUGCCCAAAAUAAAC
rnacentral:lncRNA from 1 species